AUCUUGUGUUGAUCUCUGCGCAGUAGUCUAUACGCCUCGUCUCAAAGAAUUAAGACCAUGUCAUGUGUAUAGUAUAUAAUAAUUUCUAUCUUUGAAAACUGUCGAAUGUGCUCACUUAUAUCACGUUAUAGAUUUAUUAGAGAAUAGUUUUCUAUCUUGGAUAUACCGUAGUAAUUCUAGAGGCUAAUAUCAUGAGUAAAUCUCUCGACUUUUGAAGGAGGUGUGUUUAUUAGUAUGAAAACCAUAUGCUUUUGCAUGAUAGUGAGUAAUAAUAACCUUUCAUAUCGCCUGUUUUUAAUAGCGAUAGUUCUUUCAAGUUUCUGCCCUAUCAGCUUUCGAUGGUAGUGUAUUGGACUACCAUGGCAGUAACGGGUAACGAAGAAUUUGGGUUCGAUUUCGGAGAGGGAGCCUGAGAGAUGGCUACCACAUCCAAGGAAGGCAGCAGGCGCGUAAAUUACCCAAUCCUGACAUAGGGAGGUAGUGACAAUAAAUCACAAUGCGGGACUUUUUAGUUUUGCAAUUGGAUUGAGAACAAUGUACAAGAGUUAUCGAUAAACAAUUGGAGGGCAAGUCUGGUGCCAGCAGCCGCGGUAAUCCAGCUCCAAAAGCGUAUU
rnacentral:rRNA from 1 species